ACGGGUGAGUAAUGUCUGGGAAACUGCCUGAUGGAGGGGGAUAACUACUGGAAACGGUAGCUAAUACCGCAUGACCUCGCAAGAGCAAAGUGGGGGACCUUCGGGCCUCACGCCAUCGGAUGUGCCCAGAUGGGAUUAGCUAGUAGGUGGGGUAAUGGCUCACCUAGGCGACGAUCCCUAGCUGGUCUGAGAGGAUGACCAGCCACACUGGAUCUGAGACACGGUCCAGACUCCUACGGGAGGCAGCAGUGGGGAAUAUUGCACAAUGGGCGCAAGCCUGAUGCAGCCAUGCCGCGUGUGUGAAGAAGGCCUUAGGGUUGUAAAGCACUUUCAGCGAGGAGGAAGGGUUCAGUGUUAAUAGCACUGUACAUUGACGUUACUCGCAGAAGAAGCACCGGCUAACUCCGUGCCAGCAGCCGCGGUAAUACGGAGGGUGCAAGCGUUAACCGGAAUCACUGGGCGUAAAGCGCACGCAGGCGGUUUGUUAAGUCAGAUGUGAAAUCCCCGAGCUUAACUUGGGAACUGCAUUUGAAACUGGCAAGCUAGAGUCUUGUAGAGGGGGGUAGAAUUCCAGGUGUAGC
rnacentral:rRNA from 1 species